rnacentral:rRNA from 1 species
UACGUAGGGGGCAAGCGUUGUCCGGAAUCAUUGGGCGUAAAGAGCGUGUAGGCGGCCAGAUAAGUCCGCUGUGAAAUCUCGAGGCUCAACUUCGAGCUGUCGGUGGAAACUGUCUGGCUAGAGUCCGGAAGAGGAGAAUGGAAUUCCUGGUGUAGCGGUGAAAUGCGCAGAUAUCAGGAAGAACACCCGUGGCGAAGGCGGUUCUCUGGGCCGUAACUGACGCUGAGGAGCGAAAGCAUGGGGAGCGAACAGG